AUACGGAGGGUGCGAGCGUUAAUCGGAAUUACUGGGCGUAAAGCGUACGUAGGCGGUUGGUUAAGUUAGAUGUGAAAGCCCCGGGCUUAACCUGGGAACUGCAUUUAAGACUGGCGAACUAGAGUUGAGUAGAGGGGAGUGGAAUUUCAGGUGUAGCGGUGAAAUGCGUAGAGAUCUGAAGGAACACCAGUGGCGAAGGCGACUCCCUGGACUCGAACUGACGCUGAGGUACGAAAGCGUGGGUAGCAAACGGGAUUAGAUACCCUUGUAGUCC
rnacentral:rRNA from 1 species